CCUACGGGUGGCUGCAGUGGGGAAUUUUCCGCAAUGGGCGCAAGCCUGACGGAGCAAUACCGCGUGAGGGAGGAAGGCUCUUGGGUCGUAAACCUCUUUUCUCAGGGAAGAACACAAUGACGGUACCUGAGGAAUCAGCAUCGGCUAACUCCGUGCCAGCAGCCGCGGUAAUACGGAGGAUGCAAGCGUUAUCCGGAAUGAUUGGGCGUAAAGCGUCCGUAGGUGGUUUUGUAAGUCCGUGGUUAAAGCGCGAAGCUCAACUUCGUAAGGGCCAUGGAAACUACAUAACUUGAGUAAAGUAGGGGUAGAGGGAAUUCCCAGUGUAGCGGUGAAAUGCGUAGAGAUUGGGAAGAACACCGGUGGCGAAAGCGCUCUACUGGACUUAAACUGACACUGAGGGACGAAAGCUAGGGGAGCGAAAGGGAUUAGAUACCCAUGUAGUC
rnacentral:rRNA from 1 species